rnacentral:rRNA from 1 species
AGUGAACGCUGGCGGCAGGCCUAACACAUGCCAGUCGAACGGCCGCACAGUAAGAGCUUUCUCUUACGGGUGGCGAGUGGCGGACGGGUGACGAAUACAUCAGCAUCUACUUUUUCGGGGGGGAUAACGUAGGGAAACUUCCGCUAAUACCGCAUACGAUCUACGGCUUAAAUCAGUGGUGCUUCGCACCUUGCGCGUCUGAAUGAGCUGACGCCGGAUUAGCUAGUUGGCUAGGUAAAGGCCCACCAAGGCGACGCUGCGUAGCUGGUCUGAGAGGAUGAUCAGCCACACUGGAACUGAGACACGGUCCAGACUCCUACGGGAGGCAGCAGUGGGGAAUAUUGGACAAUGGGCGCAAGCCUGACCCAGCCAUGCCGCGUGAGUGAAGAAGGCCUUCGGGUUGUAAAGCCCUGUUGUUGGGAAAGAAAAGAUGCGGAUUAAACCCCGGAUGUUCUGACGGUACCCAAAGAAUAAGCACCGGCUAACUACGUG